rnacentral:rRNA from 1 species
GACGAACGCUGGCGGCGUGCCUAACACAUGCAAGUCGAGCGGAGCGGCGGACGGGUGAGUAAUGCCUAGGAAUCUGCCUGGUAGUGGGGGAUAACGUCCGGAAACGGGCGCUAAUACCGCAUACUAUCAGAUGACCCUAGGUCGGAUUAGCUAGAUGGUGGGGUAAAGGCCUACCAAGGCGACGAUCCGUAACUGGGCUGAGAGGAUGAUCAGUCACACUGGAAGUGAGACACGGUCCAGACUCCUACGGGAGGCAGCAGUGGGGAAUAUUGGACAAUGGGCGAAAGCCUGAUCCAGCCAUGCCGCGUGUGUGAAGAAGGUCUUCGGAUUGUAAAGCACUUUAAGUUGGGAGGCGGUACCAACAGAAUAAGCACCGGCUAACUUCGUGCCAGCCGCCGCGGUAAUAC